AGAGUUUGAUCAUGGCUCAGAUUGAACGCUGGCGGCAUGCCUUACACAUGCAAGUCGUACGCGAAAGGGGGCAACCCCGAGUAGAGUGGCGAACGGGUGAGCAAUACAUCGGAACGUGUCCUGUAGCGGGGGACAACCUCGAGAAAUCGAGGCUAAUACCGCAUACGAUCUACGGAUGAAAGUGGGGGACCGCAAGGCCCCACACUAUAGGAGCGGCCGAUGCCGGAUUAGCUAGUUGGUGGGGUAACGGCCUACCAAGGCGACGAUCCGUAGCUGGUUUGAGAGAACGACCAGCCACACUGGGACUGAGACACGGCCCAGACUCCUACGGGAGGCAGCAGUGGGGAAUUUUGGACAAUGGGCGAAAGCCUGAUCCAGCCAUGCCGCGUGAGUGAAGAAGGCCUUCGGGUUGUAAAGCUCUUUCGGCGGGGACGAAAUAGCGCGGGGUAAUAUCCCGCGUCGAUGACGGUACCCGAAGAAGAAGGACCGGCUAACUACGUGCCAGCAGCCGCGGUAAUACGUAGGGUCCAAGCGUUAAUCGGAGUUACUGGGCGUAAAGCGUGCGUAGGCGGUCUCGCAAGUCCGAUGUGAAAUCCCCGAGCUUAACUUGGGAACUGCGUUGGAAACUAUGAGGCUAGAGUGCGGCAGAGGGGGGUGGAAUUCCAGGUGUAGCAGUGAAAUGCGUAGAGAUCUGGAGGAACACCGAUGGCGAAGGCAGCCCCCUGGGCCAGCACUGACGCUGAUACACGAAAGCGUGGGGAGCAAACAGGAUUAGAUACCCUAGUAGUCC
rnacentral:rRNA from 1 species